AAUCUUCUUCACUUUUUCACAAUCACAGAUACACGCACGCCACUACAGUCCCUUCUACUCUCUCUCUAGAGCACCUGAGAUUCCGGCAAUACCACCGGUGGAACCGACGGUGGUCGGUACCCUUUCGGCACCUUUACUCUCGCCGGCAAACAACCACACCCCUAAACCACGCACAACCCCCCCCCGGCAGAUCGAGUAACGACCCACCACCAUCAGGUGGUGGUGACCGACGGUUCAAGCGAGAGAGAGAGAGACCGAGCAGAAGAGGAAAAGAGAGAAAGAGAACCGGCGGAGCCGGUGCCGUCGUCGACAACGACGGUGCCGCCACCUGCGGCGGCGGUGGCGGUGAUGACCGAUGAUGAUGGUGGUGUUCUGGUCCGACGAGCUUCAGGUUCGAGUCGUUUUCCUCGGCGGGGUUGAAGUUUCCACUGAUAAUCGACAUGUUGAUGAUGAUGUUGUGAUGAUAAUGUCGAUGGUGAGGGUGGUGUUUGGCUGAUGAUGACUGUAGUGGUGGCGGUUAUGUUUCCGGUCAUGUUUAGGUCAGGAUUCAAGACUCGGUUAAAGUUUCGGGUGUCGCGGUUCAGUUUAUUUUUGGCUCGGGUCAUGAUGCGGGUCAACUCGAUUUUCGAGUCAUCCGUUAGUCAACAUCAAGUUCACGUUUCGGUAUUCAGGUUAACUAUGGUCAACAAGUCAACGUCGGUCAAAGCUCGGUCAACCUGAGUUAACUCGGUCAAACCGAGUCAACUCAGUCAACGUCAGUCAACGCCCGGUCAACAACAGUCAACGGUAUCGUUCGGGUUCAGAUUUUGGUUUGGGUUCGGGUAUGGUGCAACUCGGUCAGAUUCAAGUGCGGGUUUCGGGUCAACUUUGGAUGUUACGGGUUUAGGUUGGUUCAUUUUUGGGUUCAGGUUUCGGUUUCGGGUCACGGUCAAAGUCAACAGUCAACUGCCGGUCAACAGCAGUCAACGUCGGUCAAAGCCAGACCCGGUAAAGUUGUUAGCGUAGCGAGUUAGUCUACGUUUGAUUUUAUUUAGUAUACGCGAACCGAGCUCGACCCGACUAACUAACGGUUUUACAUUUAGUGAUUUUGCUUCGUAUUCAACGUUUUGAUAUAUUUAGUGAAAAAUUUAUAUAAAGUUAUAUA